rnacentral:rRNA from 1 species
GAUGAACGCUGGCGGCGUGCCUAAUACAUGCAAGUCGAGCGAAUGGAUUAAGAGCUUGCUCUUAUGAAGUUAGCGGCGGACGGGUGAGUAACACGUGGGUAACCUGCCCAUAAGACUGGGAUAACUCCGGGAAACCGGGGCUAAUACCGGAUAACAUUUUGAACCGCAUGGUUCGGAAUUGAAAGGCGGCUUCGGCUGUCACUUAUGGAUGGACCCGCGUCGCAUUAGCUAGUUGGUGAGGUAACGGCUCACCAAGGCAACGAUGCGUAGCCGACAUGAGAGGGUGAUCGGCCACACUGGGACUGAGACCCGGCACAGACUCCUAAGGGAGGCAGCAGUAGGGAAUCUUCCGCAAUGGACGAAAGUCUGACGGAGCAACGCCGCGUGAGUGAUGAAGGCUUUCGGGUCGUAAAACUCUGUUGUUAGGGAAGAACAAGUGCUAGUUGAAUAAGCUGGCACCUUGACGGUACCUAACCAGAAAGCCACGGCUAACUACGUGCCAGCCGCCGCAGUAA